rnacentral:rRNA from 1 species
AGGAAGAAGCUUGCUUCUUUGCUGACGAGUGGCGGACGGGUGAGUAAUGUCUGGGAAACUGCCUGAUGGAGGGGGAUAACUACUGGAAACGGUAGCUAAUACCGCAUAACGUCGCAAGACCAAAGAGGGGGACCUUCGGGCCUCUUGCCAUCGGAUGUGCCCAGAUGGGAUUAGCUAGUAGGUGGGGUAACGGCUCACCUAGGCGACGAUCCCUAGCUGGUCUGAGAGGAUGACCAGCCACACUGGAACUGAGACACGGUCCAGACUCC